UUGUAAUUGUUAAUGCUUUCCAUUUAAUAUGUGCUUUCUAUUUCAUGUUUAGAGCUAAAUGCCCUGUGAUAUAAUUUAGGUUACUUAUAACGUUACAGUUUUACGAUUUUUCUUACUUGCAUGCUUCGUUGUUUUUGUCAUUGUGUAAUCACAAGGAGAUUUGGUGCUAAAUUGCUGAAUGAUAAUUUAGGUUACUUGUGUGAGUUCUAUAACGAUAUGGUUUUACGAGA
rnacentral:lncRNA from 1 species